rnacentral:rRNA from 1 species
GACGAACGCUGGCGGCGUGCUUAACACAUGCAAGUCGAACGGUGACGGAGAGCUUGCUCUCCUGAUCAGUGGCGAACGGGUGAGUAACACGUGGGCAACCUGCCCCAGACUUCGGGAUAACGCUUCGAAAGAGGUGCUAAUACCGGAUACGAACUCCUUGGGCAUCCUUGGAGUUGGAAAGUUUUUCGGUCUGGGAUGGGCCCGCGGCCUAUCAGCUUGUUGGUGAGGUAACGGCUCACCAAGGCGACGACGGGUAGCCGGCCUGAGAGGGCGACCGGCCACACUGGGACUGAGACACGGCCCAGACUCCUACGGGAGGCAGCAGUGGGGAAUAUUGCGCAAUGGGCGAAAGCCUGACGCAGCAACGCCGCGUGAGGGAUGACGGCCUUCGGGUUGUAAACCUCUUUCAGCAGGGAAGAAGCGAAAGUGACGGUACCUGCAGAAGAAGCACCGGCUAACUACGUGCCAGCAGCCGCAGUAAGAC